AGAGUUUGAUCAUGCCUCAGAUUGAACGCUGGCGGCAGGCCUAACACAUGCAAGUCGAGCGGUAGAGAGGUGCUUGCACCUCUUGAGAGCGGCGGACGGGUGAGUAAAGCCUAGGAAUCUGCCUGGUAGUGGGGGAUAACGCUCGGAAACGGACGCUAAUACCGCAUACGUCCUACGGGAGAAAGCAGGGGACCUUCGGGCCUUGCGCUAUCAGAUGAGCCUAGGUCGGAUUAGCUAGUUGGUGAGGUAAUGGCUCACCAAGGCGACGAUCCGUAACUGGUCUGAGAGGAUGAUCAGUCACACUGGAACUGAGACACGGUCCAGACUCCUACGGGAGGCAGCAGUGGGGAAUAUUGGACAAUGGGCGAAAGCCUGAUCCAGCCAUGCCGCGUGUGUGAAGAAGGUCUUCGGAUUGUAAAGCACUUUAAGUUGGGAGGAAGGGCAUUAACCUAAUACGUUAGUGUUUUGACGUUACCGACAGAAUAAGCACCGGCUAACUCUGUGCCAGCAGCCGCGGUAAUACAGAGGGUGCAAGCGUUAAUCGGAAUUACUGGGCGUAAAGCGCGCGU
rnacentral:rRNA from 1 species